GUCUGACUGCGAAGCUGCGCUCCUCCAUACGCCGCUUCGCAUCGCGAUGGGUAAAUAACAAGCAGAACAACUCAUCGCAAGUGCAGCUGUUAGAAACUCCUAUCUCCUUAAUUGUCUGCUAUGCGGGCAUACAAGCGAGGAACAUUCCAUCCCUGGGGUGGGGAGCUUCCAGGACAUUCUUCACAAAGCCUUUGUUUGACCCAUCCUGAUGCACAAAAAACCCUCUGGAAUGAGCCUUGCUGGGACACCAAGCGCACCCCCCCGUACUGUUUGUUUAAUAUCUUCUGGGGACGUGAGGCACACGGGCGGUCACACCAUCCUCACAACACCAAAGGUCCCGAAACACCCCUAUGGGCCAGGCGUGGCGCUGAACCCAUCUAAGACGGACAGGCCCCACCCAGGGUCUGAUAUUUUAUAUUAGUUAUAUUAAUUAAUUUACAUUCAUUUCUUGAGUGUGUGUGUGUGUGAAUCGAUAAUUGUAAUUGUAAAAGUGACAUUCAUUUCCACUAAUAUUAAUAAAAUCUGGUACUGCCA